UACGGGGGGGGUAAGCGUUGUUCGGAAUUACUGGGCGUAAAGGGCUCGUAGGCGGCCAACUAAGUCAGACGUGAAAUCCCUCAGCUUAACUGGGGAACUGCGUCUGAUACUGGAUGGCUUGGAUUCGGGAGAGGAAUGCGGAAUUCCAGGUGUAGCGGUGAAAUGCGUAGAUAUCUGGAGGAACACCGAUGGCGAAGGCAGAUCUCUGGGCCGUAACUGACGCUGAGGAGCGAAAGCGUGGGGAGCGAACAGG
rnacentral:rRNA from 1 species